AUACAGAGGGUGCAAGCGUUAAUCGGAUUUACUGGGCGUAAAGCGCGCGUAGGUGGCUAAUUAAGUCAAAUGUGAAAUCCCCGAGCUUAACUUGGGAAUUGCAUUCGAUACUGGUUAGCUAGAGUAUGGGAGAGGAUGGUAGAAUUCCAGGUGUAGCGGUGAAAUGCGUAGAGAUCUGGAGGAAUACCGAUGGCGAAGGCAGCCAUCUGGCCUAAUACUGACACUGAGGUGCGAAAGAAUGGGGAGCAAACAGGAUUAGAUACCCUGGUAGUCCAUGCCGUAAACGAUGUCUACUAGCCGUUGGGGCCCUUGAGGCUUUAGUGGCGCAGCUAACGCGAUAAGUAGACCGCCUGGGGAGUACGGUCGCAAGACUAAAACUCAAAUGAAUUGACGGGG
rnacentral:rRNA from 1 species